UACGUAGGGUGCGAGCGUUAAUCGGAAUUACUGGGCGUAAAGCGUGCGCAGGCGGUUUUGUAAGACAGACGUGAAAUCCCCGGGCUUAACCUGGGAACUGCGUUUGUGACUGCAAGACUAGAGUACGGCAGAGGGGGGUAGAAUUCCACGUGUAGCAGUGAAAUGCGUAGAUAUGUGGAGGAAUACCGAUGGCGAAGGCGGCUCUCUGGACCAGUACUGACGCUGAGGCACGAAAGCGUGGGGAGCAAACAGG
rnacentral:rRNA from 1 species